rnacentral:rRNA from 1 species
UACGUAGGUGGCAAGCGUUGUCCGGAUUUACUGGGCGUAAAGAGCGCGCAGGCGGUCGGUCAAGUCGAGUGUGAAAGCCCCCGGCUCAACUGGGGAGGGUCACUCGAUACUGCUCGACUCGAAGGCGGGAGAGGGAGGUGGAAUUCCCGGUGUAGUGGUGAAAUGCGUAGAUAUCGGGAGGAACACCAGUGGCGAAGGCGACUUCCUGGCCCGUUCUUGACGCUGAGGCGCGAAAGCUAGGGGAGCAAACGGG